GCCGAUAUGGCGGAACUGGCAGACGCACAUGACUCAAAAUCAUGCGGGAAACCAUGUGGGUUCGAGUCCCACUAUCGGCACCA
rnacentral:tRNA from 1 species